UACGUAGGGUGCAAGCGUUUAUCCGGAAUCACUGGGCGUAAAGCGUGCGUAGGUGGCGCAUUAAGUGAGAUGUUAAAUCGUGUGGCUCAACCAUAUCGAUGCAUCUCAUACUGGUGUGCUAGAGGACGGCAGAGGUAAGUGGAAUUCCGAGUGUAGAGGUGAAAUUCGUAGAUAUUCGGAAGAACACCAGUGGCGAAGGCGACUUACUGGACACGUAUUGACGCUGAGGUGCGAAAGCGUGGGGAGCAAACAGG
rnacentral:rRNA from 1 species